rnacentral:rRNA from 1 species
AUAGCGAACAAGUACCGUGAGGGAAAGUUGAAAAGCACUCUGGAGAGAGAGUCAAAAGACCGUGAAACCGCUCAGAGUAUAAGCCCAUGGCAGCUUGGAAGGCAUAUCGCUAGCGGGGCAUCGGUCUCCCUUCACGGGGAGCUGGUGUUACCUUGCUUCUGUUGUGGCUCGUUAUGGUAGGGGGGUCAGGUCCACAUCCCGCCAUCGUGUGGGGAGUUCUUGGGCGUGUUGUGGCUUUGCGGUUGACCUCGGUUGGCCGUAGGGCUCUUCGUGCUUGGUUCUUCUUUAGACACGGACGUUCAGACUCAGUUGCAAGACGCGGUAACCAGCCCACCACGGCACGUUGUGAGGUCACCCUCAGGCUCGACUUUCGAUUGUGGUCCUUGACGCCGAGCAUGCACUGUGCGUGUCGCAGAAGUUCCUAACCGGGCAAACUCGUAUGCCAGGAUCGUGGAACGACACGCGCUCAACAGUCAGGACCGGGCGAUGACAGAGUUCUGGUACGAUCCUCUUGCGACGAGCCGCCUUCUGGCCGAUUUCUGAUGCUCAGGUCUCCCGCAUGUGCCGCGGGAGAUCGCUUUGACGGUCUGGAGCUUUUACAAGUCCUCUCAGUCGGGCAACGGAAAGAGUGGUGUAAAGUCCAAGCCCAUCGGUCACGUCUCGAAACACGGGCCAAGGAGUAUAGCAUGUGUGCAAGUCUAAGGGUCUCCCAAAACCUGAAGGCGAAGUGAAAGCAAGUAAGCGGCGGGUGAUCUA